rnacentral:misc_RNA from 1 species
UCCGGUUUGACACCGGCAGUCUCCCUAGAGCUCCCGGCUUUACCCGCUGGUAACUAGGGACAAGGGUUGCGCUCGUUGCGGGACUUAACCCAACAUCUCACGACACGAGCUGACGACAGCCAUGCAGCACCUGUGUUCCGGGCUCCGAAGAGAAGGUCGCAUCUCUGCGACCGGUCCCGGACAUGUCAAGGGCUGGUAAGGUUCUGCGCGUUGCGUCGAAUUAAACCACAUGCUCCACCGCUUGUGCGGGCCCCCGUCAAUUCCUUUGAGUUUCAGCCUUGCGGCCGUACUCCCCAGGCGGGGUACUUCCUGCGUUAGUGCCGGCACCCAAGGGGUCGCUCCCCCAGGCACCUAGUACCCAUCGUUUACGGCGUGGACUAC